rnacentral:rRNA from 1 species
UGCGUAAUAGCUCACUGGUCGAGGAGUCGUGCGCCGAUAAUGAUCGGGAAUUAAGCUAUCAACCGAAGCUGCGGACUUCGUAAGAAGUGGUAGAAGAGCGUUCCUGUCAGCGUUGAAGCAGUUCGGUAACGAACUGUGGAGCGGCAGGAAGUGAUUAUGCCGGUUUGAGUAACGAUAAAGCAGGUGAGAAUCCUGCUCGCCGAAAACCUAAGGUUUCCUGGGCAAGGUAAAUCCGCCCAGGGUUAGUCGGACCCUAAGGCGAGGCCGAAAGGCGUAGUCGAUGGGAAUCAGGUUAAUAUUCCUGAACCACGGAGAAGUGACGGACCCCUAAGUCGAGUCGCACGGCUAGAUGUGUGCGUACCGCAAGGUCGAGGGCUUGGACCGAAGCUCGCGGAUGGGGUUCCCCGAAAUAGCUCUCCAACAGUGACCGUACUAAAACUGACACAGGUAGGUGUGGUGAAUAACCUCAGGCGCUCGAGAGAAUGGUAGUUAAGGAAUUAGGCAAAUUAACCCCGUAAGUUCGCGAUAAGGG